UAGGGAAUCUUCCGCAAUGGACGCAAGUCUGACGGAGCAACGCCGCGUGAGUGAAGAAGGAUUUCGGUUCGUAAAACUCUGUUGUUAGAGAAGAACAGCGCAUAGAGUAACUGUUAUGCGUGUGACGGUAUCUAACCAGAAAGCCACGGCUAACUACGUGCCAGCAGCCGCGGUAAUACGUAGGUGGCAAGCGUUGUCCGGAUUUAUUGGGCGUAAAGCUAGCGCAGGCGGUCAAUUAAGUCUGAUGUGAAAGCCCCCGGCUCAACCGGGGAGGGUCAUUGGAAACUGGUUGACUUGAGUGCAGAAGAGGAGAGUGGAAUUCCAUGUGUAGCGGUUAAAUGCGUUGAUAUAUGGAGGAACACCAGUGGCGAAGGCGACUCUCUGGUCUGUAACUGACGCUGAGGCUCGAAAGCGUGGGUAGCAAACAGG
rnacentral:rRNA from 1 species